rnacentral:rRNA from 1 species
CCUACGGGGGGCUGCAGUGAGGAAUAUUGGUCAAUGGACGAGAGUCUGAACCAGCCAAGUAGCGUGAAGGAUGACUGCCCUAUGGGUUGUAAACUUCUUUUAUAUGGGAAUAAAAUGUUCCACGUGUGGGAUUUUGUAUGUACCAUAUGAAUAAGGAUCGGCUAACUCCGUGCCAGCAGCCGCGGUAAUACGGAGGAUCCGAGCGUUAUCCGGAUUUAUUGGGUUUAAAGGGAGCGUAGGUGGAUUGUUAAGUCAGUUGUGAAAGUUUGCGGCUCAACCGUAAAAUUGCAGUUGAAACUUGCAAGCUGGAAUGCGGUAGAGGUAAAGGGAAUUCCUGGUGUAGCGGUGAAAUGCUUAGAUAUCAGGAGGAACAUCGGUGGCGUAAGCGCUUUACUGGGCCGUAAUUGACGCUGAGGAACGAAAGCCAGGGUAGCAAAUGGGAUUAGAGACCCCUGUAGUC